ACAACUCUGAAUGAAAAGAUAUUUAAAUAAAAAUAACAUAUUUUUUUUAGGCAAAGGAGCAUACAGCCCACCUUAUUGAUGGUGAGUGGUUAACGUCGCCCAUGGACGUCAGCAACGCCAGGAGCAGAGCCAAGCAGCUGCCUACAGUUCAAAAAAUAAAAAAUAAAAAAUCCAGACAAAGAGCAAACAAAAAUUUAAUAGGUACACAUGAAUGUUUGCCCGAUAUGAGAAUCGAACCCAUGACCCUCGGGUCUGGUCUAGCAGUCAAAAGCGCUAACCAAUGUACGGCCGAGUCAAUCAAAAUACACACCUUUGAAAACUGUGAAUUAAAUCAUAAAAUCCAAGCCCAAUCUUUAACAUUUGCUUAGUCAGCGAUAACCUUCAGACACGUACCUACCUACCUACCCGGCAUCCCGAAUUAAGGGAGACGAGUAACGAAUUUCUCUUAUAAUUUAAUUAAAAUUUACACGAGCCGAGUUCAUGAUAAAGUUUUGAUUAAAAUAUGAUGGAAUUUUAAGUUUAAAUUAUGUUUUUACUUGGCGGCCGACGUGGCGCAAAGAUUCAUUAGUGAGUGUAGGCUUAGUUUCGUGCCGGAUAUAUUUGCCACAAUAAGUUCUCACCGCUGAUCUACUGCGGCCCGAAGUAAGUAGGCACUUAAGUCACUUAAUUUCGCGAUCACACCUGGUAAGCGAGUUUCUGGUGCACAUAAUUGUGUCGUAACCAAGUCAUACGGUGUCAACUAUAUUUAUUUUUGUGUUUAGACUCGGCACUUCAAUUCUAUUCGUAUGGUUUUGUUAGGUUCUUGACCUUUAAGAAGCUACCAUUUGAAAAAAUUAUAUAAUGCCUUAUAUCCCCAAUACCGAGUACUGUUAAUACUAUUGUUUCUGAGUGCUGCUUAAGUUUUAAAGUGUUUGUAUUUACCCAGCGAUUUGAUAUUAAUUUUAUCUAUUAUAUUCCUCUGUUGCUAUGUUACUGAAAGUUUGAAAUAAAAACUUUAUAUUUAUGAACUUUUUCCAAAAUGAAAUGAUUGACAACAACUAAAGCUCGCUAGACGUGUAGACAGUAGCUCUCAACUGUUUUGUCUGAUGGAAAAUUUUGAUAACUAUGUAGUGAUUGGGUCAUGAACAUUUCUGCGCAUUUUUUUCUUCUUCUGCGCGUCUACACUGUUAGCAGAGUGGUUGUAGCCGUCAUGUUUCUAGUGACGAGAUUUACAAGCUCCACGCUUCCAUUGCACGAGGCAAUCUAUUGCAGUUCUUAUCUGAUACAGUAUCGUUCAUUUAUGAAUGAGCGGAUGGAAAGACUAUAUCGAAUAUGCUUUGGAUAAAAUUACGUCAUGACUAUCACAGAAGCUACGAAUAGAGCUACUGUGAGGAAGAUUACGCGACGGGGCACAUCGUCGGACUAAUGAAAAACUACGAUGGUAGCAUUUGUCCAUGGACAGUGCUCUCGGGGUUUUUCGAUUUUUUAAGCUAGUAUCUUCUUUUAGUCUUCACACCAUCCUCGACCAACGACACUAUCUUCAAAACGUCUCUUUUGCUGCACGGCAUCCGACUCUGGGCUAAGUUUUUCUGUGUAAUGUUAUUUUUCAGAAGAUAUUAUUAGAUAUAAAUUCUUAUUAAAUAUGUUAUAAAAUACUCAUAAUUUAAUUUAUGUAACUUAAAAUAUUUUACGUUUAUUUUUGUUAUGUGUAUUAACAAAUAUGGUUAGUAUAUAAAAUACGUGAUUAAUAAAUAAAUAAACUUAA